rnacentral:rRNA from 1 species
UACGAAGGGUGCAAGCGUUACUCGGAAUUACUGGGCGUAAAGCGUGCGUAGGUGGUGAGUUAAGUCUGUCGUGAAAGCCCCGGGCUCAACCUGGGAAUGGCGAUGGAUACUGGCUCGCUAGAGUGCGGUAGAGGAGAGUGGAAUUCCCGGUGUAGAGGUGAAAUUCGUAGAUAUCGAGAGGAACACCGGUGGCGAAGGCGACUUACUGGACACAUAUUGACGCUGAGGUGCGAAAGCGUGGGGAGCAAACAGG